GUCAUGGUAGAGGAAGUGAUAUGACAAUAUGACUUUUACAUGAUUCGGUUGCUUAGCCUUACUGAAAUAUACAAUUGUGGUGGUUUUACCCAGCUGAUGGUUUUACCCAGCUGAAGCCCCUGGUGAGGUGAUUAGGUGCUGCAGCUUGGCCAUCCUUGCAUCUCACUGCUGCCAAAAGGCAAAAGUACUUUGCCCACUUCCCAUUCCCCUCACUCCUCUCCCUGUCUUUGCACAGAUUUUGACAUGUGCUUGCCCACACUGUGAGCUUGUUUAGCUUUUCAACACAGGAAUAAAGAUUUAAAUUUUUGCAUUGGAUUAACUUUCUGACUCAUUAAGCAAGCUGGAAUGACUGACCAGUGGGUGCCAGAGAUGGGAUAUGAACAUUAGAGGUCUGUGUGUGUGGAGGAUGGUUUUGGAGAUGGACUUUUCACUUCAAGAAAGAAGUAAUGAACACUUGAAAACAUUCAAGUGUCCUCGAAAAUAUGUUGAUAAAAGGAUAGCAAGUACUAAUCACCGCUCUUUAAGGGUUUAUUUUCAGCUGCCUUGUCAAGUUGGGAGUUGCAACAACUAAAGAAACAGCACAGUUUCAGAUCUUAUUUCAAAGACAUUCAAAUGAAGAACUGCCAGUUGUGACACAUGCCCUUUUAUUAUCCUAAAAGUGAUUGAUAUCUUGCUGGAGGCAAUAGGACCUGUGAAAUGUUAUGCACCUUUUAAAGAACGAUUGCUGUCUCUGCUUUAAAUAGUAUGGUGCUUACAAUGGAAAAUUACCAAAAAAAAAAAAAAAAAAAGACUUUUUUUUUUAAUGUAUCUUUCAUACAUACAUGUACAUAGGUACCGUGUGGAUCUCUUCCAAAUACAUUGCAUAUAUACAUAUAUGAACUGAUAUAAAAAUGUGUGUAUGCAUUUAUAGGUAAGGUAGUCUAAAAGCAGCUCUGUAAAUGGCAUAUGCUGGUUUAGAAAAGAUUUCUUUCUUUUUUUUUUUUUUUUAAAGUCCAUAAGAAGAUAAGAGAAAAUCCUGGAGAACAUGUCUAAAAUAGGCGCUAAAGGAAUCUUCCUUCUAACAUCCCUAAUCAUUACUACUGGGAAUGUAUGAAGGCAUGGAAGAGAACAGCAAUUAGUCUCAUUCUUCCUAAAUAGCAUCUCCUAUUGCCACUGUCAGAAAGAAUAUUAGAGGUAAAAAAAAAAACACAAUAAUGUUUCUUAGGAUGGAAAUUAAACUAAGAGUGCAGAUGGCUGUUUGGGAUAGCAAAAACAAAAACAUAAACAAAAACAAAAAAGAGUAUCACUCUGAAAGUAGUGAUAUACUCUGAAUGUUUUUUUUUUUGUUUGUUUGUUUGUUUUGAUAU
rnacentral:lncRNA from 1 species